CCUAGUUUUUAUACAAAGGGGUUAUUGAAAGUACAUAGUGCAUGGGUUUUGGGUGAAGAUGAAGUGGAAAAUGCCCGAGAAGUGCUUGGCACAGGCCUGACAGGCUGAGAAAAACACUGAAGAGCCUCCGUGUCUGUCUCUGCCCUCGUUUUCUGCAGCCUGUUGAGCCUGGCAGCCCUGGUGUUUCUGUCCUGAGUCAGACCACACCACUACCCUGCUGAAACCCCCCCGAUGGCUCUCAUGUUACUCAAGAAUGUAAGCUGUACCAAGGGAUUUUGGUCUGUUUUGCACGCUAUUGUAUCUCCAGUGCCUUGAAUAGC